GUUCAGAUGUGAAAGACCCGGGGCGUCAACCUCGGAAUAGCAUUUGAAACUAGGCAGACUAGAGUACUGUAGAGGGGGGUAGGAAUUUCAGGUGUAGCGGUGAAAUGCGUAGAGAUCUGAAGGAAUACCGGUGGCGAAGGCGGCCCCCUGGACAGAUACUGACACUCAGAUGCGAAAGCGUGGGGAGCAAACAGGAUUAGAUACCCCUGGUAG
rnacentral:rRNA from 1 species